CUCUCCUGUAUGAGAUCCUUUAUUCCUGUUUUGCCGUCCUCCUUUGUGAUUAGAAGAUUUUCUCUAAUGUGAGAGAAUGUUCAGGAGAGAAAAUCAGAAAUCUACAUUUGAAAAGUAUCCCACUAACAGAAGUUGAUCCAAGACAGAGAAGAAGAUACAUGGAGCUUAUUUGGGAGGUGCACUGAUAAAAGAUUGCAGACAUGAAAAAAGGGAAGAGAAGAAACUCUUUUCAAGAAUAGUUUCCAAACCACAUAGCUUGUAUUACAUGGCCAUUUACAAUAUGGAUCCCAACUACAUCUUUCGUCACUCUACUGCAGCUAUUCUACACUCUUAUCACAGUGCAAAGUUAAUUAUUCACCCGCCAAGCUCUUCUUUGGUGAAUAUUUAUCCUAUUUAUAAGAUUUAUGUUUACUAGAAGCCAUGGAUGUGAAAGUAUGUAAAAUUAUAAGACUCUGGGAAGACAGACUGAGAAUAGAGGAGAAAUAAUCUGCCAUGUUGUUAGCUCCCCUGUGAGGAGACCCAUGUGAUGAGGAACUGAGGCCUGACAACAGUCAGAAGAGUGGGCUUGGAAGUGGAUCCUUAAGCUCCAAACCUUGAGAUGAUCCCAUUUCUGGCCAACAUCUUGACAGAAAUCUGAUGCAAGACCCUGAGCCAGAACCACCCAGUUUAGCUGUACCCUGAUCCUUGACCCUGAGGAAUUGUUUCAGAAGAAACUACCUUAAUGAAGAAACAGAAGGGAAAGACGUGAAAACCUCCAGAGUUCUUCAGAAAGGCUUCCUUUGCAUAGAAUCGUUCAUCAAUUUCAACAGUAACAGAAAGUAACGGAAACGUGAUCUGAAUGAGUAGCUGAAAAUUGAGUAGUAACUUAACACUCCAUUGAAGUUUUUCAUCAGAUAUGGGGCACAGCUUGACCCUCGUAUUAUAAAUAUUUAAAUGCUUUGGAUAUUUUGCCAAAGUUUAAGCAUUUCUUCCCAAAGGAACAGUGGUGAUAUAAUGUGAGUCAUGCUAAAGUACUUAACCAUCAGUGGGCAGAUUUUGUGGCAUGAAUUUUUGUAAUGAUUUUAAGUAAGACCCGGUAUAUUCACAAAUAUCCAAAACUUUAUUUAGAACUGUAUGGGAAGCUAUUCUAUCUAAAAGCUCAUUCUUAUUAAAAGUAUUUUUUCAGGAAAUAAAAUGAUGUUAAACCUGGAAGUCUCCAGCAAAGAGACUGAUUUUUUUUUAGAUGCUCCCAACUCAGUAAAUUUUGCUUUCCUAUUUUCUUAUUUUUGUACGUAUGCCACUGAUGUCUAGCUUAUACACUUCUGUUAUAUUUACAGCUGUUUACAACCAUUGAACCAAAAGUUCUAUACCUGUUGAAUGUCUAAAAGUAGAGAAAAUUAAUUGAAAAGCAAUAGGUUAAGAAUCAACCUGUGGUCCCAAGAAAAAGAAGUAAAAUCCUAUAAAAUUCUUAAAGCAUUUCCUCUAUAAAUAUUUGAAAGUUAUUUAAUCUUUUGGUCUUUAUAGUGCCUGGAUUGACAUUCUGCAUUAACUAUGGAAUCAUUUUUAUAAGGAAUAUUUUGUGAUUUGUAUAAGAAAAAGUAUUUCUCAAUGGCAUAGGAAGAGCUUUGCUAACUCUUAGAAGAAAGAGGGAAGAGAAGAGGGAAGGAAACAAGUAAAACGAACUGGUGGUACAUCGUGUAUUAAGAGAUAAUACAAGGAUAUCAUACUAUAAUGUUUUCAGACAAAAAUUAUGGACAGGCUAAUUCGUGAAAUAAGAUGAAGACCUAAAAGGUAGCAAUGAUCCUAUACACUAUACUCUGUAACAGUUGUUUUCAAACUGCUUUUUAAACAUAAAAACAAUUUUAAAUCCACUAUUUUAGCACAUUCUGGUCUUAUAUAGUAAUUACAUGGCUAUAUUUUUCCAGUGUGACAUAUUUAAAAUACAUAUCAUUAAAUUUCUGGUUAAUCUUAAACAUGGAAAUAAAGUACGAAAUUUCUAGUUGUUGAAGUAUGUUUAAAAUAAAAUAUAUUAAAAUAUCA
rnacentral:lncRNA from 1 species